GAACGCAGUAGCAAUACUGAGUGGCAGACGGGUGAGUAACAUGUGGGAAUCUGCCUUGUGGUUCAGGACAACAUUGGGAAACCGAUGCUAAUACUGGAUAAGCCCUUACGGGGAAAGUUUUAAUGCCAUAAGAUGAGCCCGCAUUUGAUUAGUUAGUUGGUGAGGUAAUGGCUCACCAAGACAAUGAUCAAUAGCUGAUCUGAGAGGAUGAUCAGCCACACUGGGACUGAGACACGGCCCAGACUCCUACGGGAGGCAGCAGUGGGGAAUCUUGCACAAUGGAGGAAACUCUGAUGCAGCGAUGCCGCGUGAGUGAAGAAGGCCUUUGGGUUGUAAAGCUCUUUUGUAGGGGAAGAUAAUGACUGUACCCUAAGAAUAAGGUCCGGCUAACUUCGUGCCAGCAGCCGCGGUAAUACGAAGGGACCUAGCGUAGUUCGGAAUUACUGGGCGUAAAGCGCGCGUAGGCCGUUGAGUUAGUUAAUUGUGAAAUCCCAAAGCUUAACUUUGGAACUGCAAUUAAAACUGCUCGACUAGAGUUUGAUAGAGGAAAGCGGAAUACAUAGUGUAGAGGUGAAAUUCGUAGAUAUUAUGUAGAACACCAGUUGCGAAGGCGGCUUUCUGGAUCAACACU
rnacentral:rRNA from 1 species